rnacentral:rRNA from 1 species
GGGCCCGCACAAGCGGCGGAGCAUGCGGAUUAAUUCGAUGCAACGCGAAGAACCUUACCUGGGUUUGACAUCACGGGAAAACUCGCAGAGAUGCGGGGUCCUUCGGGGCUCGUGACAGGUGGUGCAUGGCUGUCGUCAGCUCGUGUCGUGAGAUGUUGGGUUAAGUCCCGCAACGAGCGCAACCCUCGUUCGAUGUUGCCAGCGGUUCGGCCGGGGACUCAUCGAAGACUGCCGGGGUCAACUCGGAGGAAGGUGGGGAUGACGUCAAGUCAUCAUGCCCCUUAUGUCCAGGGCUUCACGCAUGCUACAAUGGCCGGUACAAAGGGCUGCGAUGCCGUAAGGUGGAGCGAAUCCCAAAAAGCCGGUCUCAGUUCGGAUCGGGGUCUGCAACUCGACCCCGUGAAGUCGGAGUCGCUAGUAAUCGCAGAUCAGCAUUGCUGCGGUGAAUACGUUCCCGGGCCUU